AGUAAUAACAAGAACUGCAUAAACAUGAAAAUGAUAAUAUUUGUUUGACCCAUAAAGAGAUAUUAUUUACGAGCAUUUUGGGGGAACACGGAAAAUGAUAAAUUCGUACAUUGGGUAAAAACCGUGACUGAGAUAAGGUGUCGUAUAACAAGGGGAGUGGGUCCACGGAUCCAGGAGGCCCGUGUCUACGCCAUCGUUACCUCUCCCACGUACAGACUGAUUGGUAUACAGUAAACCAGCCAUCAGCGAUAAUCAGAGUUUUUAUUCUCUAAAGAUAGCGUCUGGUAGAGUAACCAGGAAGUGGUCGGCGAGAACUGGGAGAAACUGGCCUCAAUUUGGGAUGAUUGCUGACCCUAAAUGAACACUGUCAAAUGUUACUUGAAAAGAGGAGAACGUAAUCAAGCGUUAUUUAUGACGACACAGUGUUUAGGCAAUGACGUUUACGGCGUUAAAUAGAUUUGCUUCCUGUAUCCGUUAUGUAAAUAUUUCAUUACUAGUAAGACUGGUUUUUUUUUUAAAGUCAGCGUCCCUACUUCCGUGUGUACAUUUUUUAUGCAUUGUUAUUCUUUUUCAUUCUUUGUCCAAAUCAUUCUUUCUUAUACAUAGUCUUGACUAUAUAACGUAUUUUGCUAUUUCGUAAUUACGUAUUCGUAUCAUGUUAGUUUUGAACAAUUUUUCAAUUUUAAUGGCGAAGACCUCUUAUUAGAACUUUUGUCCUAACCAUUUGUAUAUGUAUGUUAUAUAUAUAUAUUAAUGAAACAAAUAAUUAUUUACUGUUAUCAAAUUGUUCGGAAUUGAACAUGUAGAAAUAAUUCAUUUUGAUUAGACAAACUGGUUAUUUACAAUCUUUUUAAGGAGGAAAUACAAGAUCGAAAUGAUGCAUCGUCAACAUAUGGGCAGUGUGUUGAAAAAAAAAAACAAGAAACAAUUAGUUUCAUCUAAAAGAUCAUGAACUUUCCUCACAAUGUACAAGCGGGUCUGUAGUAUUAACAAAGUAAUAUAUGGUCAUUGGACAUGGUUUUAUUUUGGUAAAAAACAAUACAGAAACAUACAUGUACAUAUGCAUGUACCAUUAGUGAAAUUGUUAAAUAGUCAAAAGCAAAUUAUCAAUCUGUUUACAAAAUAAACAUUGAAUUCAAUGUUAAUCUUUGU